rnacentral:rRNA from 1 species
GGUGAACGCUGGCGGCGUGCUUAAGACAUGCAAGUCGAACGGCAGUCUUCGGACUGUAGUGGCGCACGGGUGAGUAACGCGUAACUGACCUACCCCACAGUCGCGGAUAACGAUUCGAAAGAAACGCCAAUUCGUGAUGUGCUGUCAGAUUGUGUUCUGCCAGUAAAGAUUUGUUGCUUUGGGAUGGGGUUGCGUUCAAUCAGCUAGUUGAUGGGGUAAAGGCCCACCAAGGCGACGACGGAUAGCCGGCCUGAGAGGGUGGCCGGCCACAGGGGCACUGAGACACGGGUCCCACUCCUACGGGAGGCAGCAGUUAGGAAUCUUCCACAAUGGGCGAAAGCCUGAUGGAGCGACGCCGCGUGAGGGAUGAAGGUCUUCGGAUCGUAAACCUCUGAAUCAGGGACGAAAGACACUUCGGUGGGAUGACGGUACCUGAGUAAUAGCACCGGCUAACUCCGUGCCAGCCGCCGCAGUAACAC